rnacentral:rRNA from 1 species
UACGUAGGGGGCAAGCGUUGUCCGGAAUCAUUGGGCGUAAAGCGCGUGUAGGCGGCUCGGUAAGUCUGCUGUGAAAGUCCAGGGCUCAACCCUGGGAUGCGGUGGAUACUGUCGAGCUCGAGUCCGGAAGAGGCGAGUGGAAUUCCUGGUGUAGCGGUGAAAUGCGCAGAUAUCAGGAGGAACACCAAUGGCGAAGGCGGCUAUCUGGACGGUUUCUGACGCUAAGACGCGAAAGCGUGGGGAGCAAACAGG